GGGUUGUGAGGUUAAGCGACUAAGCGUACACGGUGGAUGCCCUGGCAGUCAGAGGCGAUGAAGGGCGUGCUAAUCUGCGAUAAGCGCCGGUAAGGUGAUAUGAACCGUUAUAACCGGCGAUACCCGAAUGGGGAAACCCAGUGUGAUUCGUCACACUAUCAUUAACUGAAUCCAUAGGUUAAUGAGGCGAACCGGGGGAACUGAAACAUCUAAGUACCCCGAGGAAAAGAAAUCAACCGAGAUUCCCCCAGUAGCGGCGAGCGAACGGGGAGGAGCCCAGAGCCUGAAUCAGCAUGUGUGUUAGUGGAAGCGUCUGGAAAGGCGCGCGAUACAGGGUGACAGCCCCGUACACAAAAGCGCAUGUGCUGUGAGCUCGAUGAGUAGGGCGGGACACGUGGUAUCCUGUCUGAAUAUGGGGGGACCAUCCUCCAAGGCUAAAUACUCCUGACUGACCGAUAGUGAACCAGUACCGUGAGGGAAAGGCGAAAAGAACCCCGGCGAGGGGAGUGAAAAAGAACCUGAAACCGUGUACGUACAAGCAGUGGGAGCACCCUUUGGGGUGUGACUGCGUACCUUUUGUAUAAUGGGUCAGCGACUUAUAUUCUGUAGCAAGGUUAACCGAAUAGGGGAGCCGGAGGGAAACCGAGUCUUAAUUGGGCGUUAAGUUGCAGGGUAUAGACCCGAAACCCGGUGAUCUAGCCAUGGGCAGGUUGAAGGUUGGGUAACACUAACUGGAGGACCGAACCGACUAAUGUUGAAAAAUUAGCGGAUGACCUGUGGCUGGGGGUGAAAGGCCAAUCAAACCGGGAGAUAGCUGGUUCUCCCCGAAAGCUAUUUAGGUAGCGCCUCGUGAAUUCAUCUCCGGGGGUAGAGCACUGUUUCGGCUAGGGGGCCAUCCCGGCUUACCAACCCGAUGCAAACUGCGAAUACCGGAGAAUGUUAUCACGGGAGACACACGGCGGGUGCUAACGUCCGUCGUGAAGAGGGAAACAACCCAGACCGCCAGCUAAGGUCCCAAAGUCAUGGUUAAGUGGGAAACGAUGUGGGAAGGCCCAGACAGCCAGGAUGUUGGCUUAGAAGCAGCCAUCAUUUAAAGAAAGCGUAAUAGCUCACUGGUCGAGUCGGCCUGCGCGGAAGAUGUAACGGGGCUAAACCAUGCACCGAAGCUGCGGCAGCGAC
rnacentral:rRNA from 1 species